CAGUAGCCACGGGAAUACGUAGGGGGCAAGCGUUAUCCGGAAUAACUGGGCGUAAAGGGUGCGCAGGUGGUUUAACAAGUUAGUGGUGAAAGGCAUAGGCUCAACCAAUGUAAGCCAUUAAAACUGUUUAACUUGAGUGCAGGAGAGGAAAGUGGAAUUCCUAGUGUAGCGGUGAAAUGCGUAGAUAUUAGGAGGAAUACCAGUGGCGAAGGCGACUUUCUGGACUGCAACUGACACUGAGGCACGAAAGCGUGGGGAGCAAACAGGAUUAGAUACCCGCGUAGUCCCUGUCUCUUAUACA
rnacentral:rRNA from 1 species